UACGUAGGGUGCGAGCGUUAAUCGGAAUUACUGGGCGUAAAGGGUGCGCAGGCGGCCGCGCAAGUCAGGUGUGAAAUCCCCGGGCUUAACCUGGGAAUUGCGCUUGAAACUAUGCGGCUGGAGUGUGGCAGAGGGGGGUGGAAUUCCACGUGUAGCAGUGAAAUGCGUAGAGAUGUGGAGGAACACCGAUGGCGAAGGCAGCCCCCUGGGCCAACACUGACGCUCAGGCACGAAAGCGUGGGGAGCAAACGGG
rnacentral:rRNA from 1 species